ensembl:snRNA U6 U6 spliceosomal RNA
AUGCUCUAUUCGGCAGCACAUAUACUAAAAUUGGAACAAUACAGAGAGGAUUAGCAUGGCCCUUGGGCAAAGAUGACAUGCAAAUUCGUGAAGCGUUCAGUAUUUAA